ensembl:lncRNA
CACGGCUGGUAUCUGAUUCCAAACUGAUGAGGAUUAUGUCCAUUUAGCUAUUCGGUGACUACGUUUACAUGGACAGCAGUAAUCUAAUUACUGACCUUACUCUGAGUAAGAUAAUAAUGUGAUUAAGGUGUUUACAUGAGUCGCUUUUAGAAUACUCCUGUCAUCUUCCCGUUUUACGUUAUAGAACAUAAUUAGAUUAACAGCCCACGUCAUUACGUCACCGCGCCACGCCAUCUGACGUCUCUCCAGAAUUUCACGCAUCGACAUGCAGUUGGUCUUCGUUAUGGUACCGUAUACAGUUUUGGGUGUUUUUAUUAAUUUUUUUACGAACGCUUCACGUGCGGUUAAUUAUUCGUCAUGCUGUACGUGCUAAUAGACGACUGCUUGAAGCCUAGGGCUGCGUCUCAAACCGUGUACUUAACGUCUAUAUAGUAGCCGAGAUACAUGUAUUUUUCCCCACUACAGGCCUAUAGUAAGCAGUAGCGGUUUGGGACACAGCCGAACUCUCUUGUUCGCCGUAAAACGUAAAACUGCAUGUGUGAUCGUGUCCUGUCGCAAAAAAAAUACAGUGAAAACUCCCACACGACGUUCAUAAUGUGAUUAAGGUGUUUACAUGUCACUACUACACGUACAUAAUGCGACUAAAACAAGAGUACUCCACCUGUCUUAAUUAGAUUAUUGCUUAAUUCGAGUAUGACCUUAAUUAGAUUAAGGUAAGUAAAAAUUGCUGUUUACAUGCUAGUUUCUUAAUCAGAGUAUUGUCUUAAUCAGGUUAAGAGUGGAUUAUUGUUGUCCAUGUACACGCAGCUACUGUGAGGAUAUCACACUCAGGCUACGUCAACAUUAAUCAGGACAGACCCGAAAAUAGGUCGUUUUCAUUUUAAAAACGCUCUCCGUCUACACUGGGCUUUUUGAACGCUUUCCAAAAAAAAAUCCACACUGAAACACCUGAAAAUGCUUACAUCCCUAUACCGCUCAUGUGUAAAAACGUAAGAAGCUUCGGCCUGCGUCAUUUCCCUCGGGCGUUAUUGAAAAAUUCAAAGUGGACAGCAGGCACGACAAUUGCAGUGGAACAUCGUCCACCAUCUUGUUCAUUUUGACUUGAGUGGGUCACGUGACUAAAACGACGCCAUUUUCAAAUCGACGGUUUUCCAAAAGUUUAUCCCGAUUAAUGUGGACGUCUCCAUAGCCAGCGAGAUUCCGAUGUCUUUCGGCAGACUGGCUGUGUUUGCCACCAUAUUUGAGGUGUUAUCGGCAGGAAAAACUCGAUUUUGACCAAAACAUGAUUUUUGGAUAUUUUCCCGUAACAUUCGCUGGGUUUUCCCAGAUGCUGAACAUCAACUUGAGGCACUCUCUACAAAUGUAAUACCAACCAGUAAUCUGUCUUAUUAGAACAAAUCCUUAAUAGAAUUUUUUGUUUCCCAGAACAUUGCAGGAACACUUCUAAGCAUUAUGCAAAAAAAAAGUCCUCCGAACAUCUCGACACACUGAACGUUCCUCAGCGUUCUAAAACCGUCGGAUUUCAGAGGUCACCUCAUGAUGAAUUAAAGCUGGAGGAUUAUUUAAAUAUAAUUAAAAUGUCAUUUUAGCUGUACCACAGAGUAGUUUGUCAAACCUUUUUAACAAUUCUAGCACUAGUUAGAACUGCGUUCAAAACUUUGAUGGGAUACUACUAAGUUACAGAGACUAGACAUAGAUGCUAGCUUACUAGUUAUUAGCAGCUGUCACAAAAUAGACACAAAUGGAUGUACAGUUUCAAUCACCAUAAAAUUAAAAAAAAAAAGGAUAACAAACAGAAAACAAAGCUCUGGACAUCUGGACUGGAUUGGAUUGUGGAUCCAUGGUGGCUCCUGCAUUGGUGGUGAAAUCGGAUGUAAGGGUGACUGUCUAAUAUUAGCUCUCAAUGAUUAAAACAACGAUUUUUCACUGCUGUUGUAGUAUACGAGAAAUAAAAGACUCUGAGAUGUGCCGUUCUAGGAAAAGAAUCAACGCUGAAGUGUUUUAUUCCUAUAUUAGAAUGGAAAGGUGAUGAAUAGGUGAAGAGCGGGCCGUUAAUACGGAGUCUUCUCAUGAAUAUUUGAACGUAGCAUAAUUGUAUCUUCUGAUUAGUGUCAAUGAACGUCAAGUCUUCAUGUUAUUCUGGGUUUUGAGGAAAUGAUGAAACUCAGGCAGCGGUUUAUGAGCUUUUUAUUAACCACACUGCUUGUACUGUAUGUUGAUUAAAUCACAUCGGAAAACCUCUUCAUCAACUCCCUGCCAGUCUGCCUGCAGAUAGAAAGCCCCCUGCCUUUAUUAGCUUUCUCAUUAGUGACAGUACAGCACCUCAAUUAAGUCUUAUCACUUCUUUUUGUAGAGGCAGGAAAUGAAACACUCUGAUCCAGAAUGUUCUCUACCCUCCACAAAGGUUGUCCCGAUGUCUGAGAGUGCGUGUCGUGGGUUGGACUAGUGUGUGCCAGGCUGCUCUGUAUUCAAGGUGUGUAUGAGUCGUGACUCAUGUUAGUAUCCGUCAGGGUGUUGUGCGUGCUGAUUGGCUAGGUCACGGAGUCUCUCCGGCCAAUCAGAAGCCACUGAGAUGACCGCUGAGGGAUACAGGACACACAGAGACGGCUGUAUCCAAGCAACACCCUCCCAGCAUCAGAUAAAGACCUUAUAGGACAAACGGUGUUCAGGAAAACUCUCUCUCGUUAUAACAAAGACAAAACUCUUACAUGAAAUAGAAAUAUAGAAGAGCUUGUUGUAUUUCUCAGUCUCUUUUCUGUGGCUUUUCUCACGGUGAAGUCUCAACUCAACUCCAAACUGACCCGUUUCAAUUUAUUCAUCAGGUGCGCCUACAUAGCAGCUUCAAAAGAUGUAGUUUAAUAUUUACAUAUAAAUAAAUAAAUAAAUAAAUAAAUAAACAACAAACAAAAAUGACACAUAAUUGUAAAAUCAUUCUUUCUUUAUCUUUAUUAAUUUAUUUAGUCAGUUAGUUAGCUAAUUAUUCUUUUGUAAAUGAACAAUUAAUUAAAAAAUAAUAAUUCACCGUUAAUAAAUUAAAAAUGUUAUCUUUUUUUUUUUUUACUUAUUCUACCCACAGUGUUCCCAUUUUAUUCACAUGAUCCUUUUAAAAAAAAAUAAAAACAUCACAAAUGUGUAUUUUUGCAUAUUUUUCUAGAUGUAUUUCUAUAUCUCUGUGUCCUCAUUUCUAUUUUCUUUUCUUUUUUUGUAAAUAUAAUGUUUCUAAAAUAUUUGUUUGUCUUUUUGAAAUGAGUAAAGCAUUAAAAGAAAAUAGAAUAAAAAAUAAACAACUUGUUCCUCUACUACUACUUUCAAAUAUACACUCCUCUACAACUACUACUGAUUAUAAUAAUAAAAUUAAACGGCGGUAUUCAAAUUGCUCAAUAGCGAAGAUAUCAUCGGCGAGACUUAUGUAAAGACUUAAAUAAAUAAAAAAUAUCUCCUGGCCGUUUGGUAACACUUUGGGUUGUAAAAAAAUUAUUGCUUCCUAAAUUUGAGGUGUCAGAAUAUGUUAUACACAGUAUGUUAUAGUUAUGUUAUAUAUGUUAUCUCUCUCU